CUGACGCCGCCGCCUUCCCCUUUUCCCGCUAGCCCCAACACGGAGGCCGCAACAUCGGACGCCCCGGCCACGCGCGCCAAUGAAAGGGCGGAGCAGGGCCAGCGGCUAGAGCAUGGCGAGGAGCUGGCGCAAUGCGAGCAACGCGCUUAUCCGGCCCGCUGGGUCCACCGCCUGCAUGCUCCCGGCCAUUUUUUGCAACCUCCGCCUCCGCCUCCUAUCCCUUCGUCUCCCUCGACGUGGGCCGUGAGGACUGGUGCAAGCCGACAGCAGACGAAGCUUGGUCUGGAAGGAGUUUUCGACAUCGACGACACAAAAGCAAAGCAGAGAGAAGGAAAGCGAGAGCAUGGCGAACGCAGAGAGAAAGAAAGUGAGAUGCAGCCGAUGGAGAAGUAUCUACUGGAAUUAUCUAGAGGCGAACGACGUGUCCUUUUCUGUCCCGCUCCACAACUGUUACAACAACACACAUGA
rnacentral:misc_RNA from 1 species